CACAUAUCUUCAAAGUGUACCCGUGUUUGAUAAAUCUUUAAUUUUCUUGUAUAUCUAGCAUAUCCAGGUCUCCGCUUACCACGAAAAAGAUCUUCAUGAAUCUGUGCUAAUGGGUAAGCACUUCUGAACUCUACUCUUUGCUGCUACACUGAGCUCUGAAGCUGUGUAACUGAAUUAUCUCCAAAAUGUAAAAGCCUCUACUUUGUUGGCCAAGGAAUUCAUAAAAUCUUCUAACUGCAGAGUGCAGUUGAAGAGCAAUGACAUAUGUUGCUCUUUUAGAAAUUAUCAUAUGAACCAAUUUUUUAUAUUUUUGUUAUGCAUGCAGACAUGUCUCCGUAUAACCCCACUGUGAAGACAAAUGACAGGUUAUGGUAUGAGAUAGAAUGGACAUCCAGAUGCAUCAAGAUGAGUUUGGUCCUAAAAGGUUAGCGUAACUUCCCAAGGCAGUAAACAUUCAGGAGUGUUAAACUGUAACUUCCCAGAGAACAUAUUAAACCUUAUAUGGUCACGUUAGACCAUAGUGUGAACAAGAAUUUAUGAAAGACACAGCCAACAUGAAAAUGUUAUUUAUGCUAAGAUGGUGUUCCUACACUAUAUGAAGUGGUAGAGCUUGCCUAUCACCGGUCUAGGAUCCCAUUUCAGACCUAAGACAAGGAAUAUACUAGUAAUUAUUGGUUUUGUUGUCAUAUCAGUAUUCAAGUCACUCAUUAUCAGGUAACUUUGCAUCCAUGGGCGCACAUAUCACUUUUUGGUCUGGUGAAUGUCCACCAGAUGACCCUUAGACCUGUUCUGGGGAUGACAGUGGUGUUCUGUACAUAGAACCAACCAUCAGUCAUUAAAGGCUAUGGUAAAAUGGUUGACCGUAAUCUAUGUUAUUGAAAACUAACAUUUUAAGAUUACUGUGAACCAGCCAAAGUUAAUUACAUUAAUCAAUAUAUGAACGUUGGUGUGUGACCUCUAGUUGUUCUUUCCAGUAUCUUGGUGGUUCUGAAGGAUCACAAUAUUUUCUUUCUGUUUGAGGAAACUGCCAUGCUUGUGUGAUGCUAAAACCACCAGAACACAAGGUGGCUGCAUGUUUUUUUAAGUGUAGAUGGUACGGAAUUCUAAUAAUUGUGUUUGCUAUAUAUCUUAUAUUCACUCCAUCAUUUUUUAUUAAUGGGAAAAAAAACAUUAUUUUAUUACUUCCCUGCUUGAUUCUCAUAGGCUACUUAUAGACCUAAUGUCCGCAGGACUUAUACUGUGAAUUGCAUUCCCCAUUUACACGUGCUUUAUGAUUGACUGUUAAAUGCCAGUAUCGAGUCCCAGAUGUGAG